GAUUAAGAACGCAGCGAAAUGCGAUAAGUAAUGUGAAUUGCAGAAUUCAGUGAAUCAUCGAAUCUUUGAACGCACAUUGCGCCCUCUGGUAUUCCGGGGGGCAUGCCUGUUCGAGCGUCAUUAUAACCACUCAAGCUCUCGCUUGGUAUUGGGGUUCGCGGUUUCGCGGCCCCUAAAAUCAGUGGCGGUGCCUGUCGGCUCUACGCGUAGUAAUACUUCUCGCGAUUGAGUCCGAUAGGUCUACUUGCCAGUAACCCCCAAUUUUUACAGGUUGACCUCGGAUCAGGUAGGGAUACCCGCUGAACUUAAGCAUAUCAAUAAGCGGAGGA
rnacentral:misc_RNA from 1 species